rnacentral:rRNA from 1 species
AGCGGCGGACGGGUGAGUAAUGCUUAGGAAUCUGCCUAUUAGUGGGGGACAACAUUCCGAAAGGAAUGCUAAUACCGCAUACGUCCUACGGGAGAAAGCAGGGGAUCUUCGGACCUUGCGCUAAUAGAUGAGCCUAAGUCGGAUUAGCUAGUUGGUGGGGUAAAGGCCUACCAAGGCGACGAUCUGUAGCGGGUCUGAGAGGAUGAUCCGCCACACUGGGACUGAGACACGGCCCAGACUCCUACGGGAGGCAGCAGUGGGGAAUAUUGGACAAUGGGCGGAAGCCUGAUCCAGCCAUGCCGCGUGUGUGAAGAAGGCCUUUUGGUUGUAAAGCACUUUAAGCGAGGAGGAGGCUACUCUAGUUAAUACCUAGAGAUAGUGGACGUUACUCGCAGAAUAAGCACCGGCUAACUCUGUGCCAGCAGCCGCGGUAAUACAGAGGGUGCGAGCGUUAAUCGGAUUUACUGGGCGUAAAGCGUGCGUAGGCGGCUGAUUAAGUCGGAUGUGAAAUCCCUGAGCUUAACUUAGGAAUUGCAUUCGAUACUGGUCAGCUAGAGUAUGGGAGAGGAUGGUAGAAUUCCAGGUGUAGCGGUGAAAUGCGUAGAGAUCUGGAGGAAUACCGAUGGCGAAGGCAGCCAUCUGGCCUAAUACUGACGCUGAGGUACGAAAGCAUGGGGAGCAAACAGGAUUAGAUACCCUGGUAGUCCGCACCGUAAACGGUGGGCACUAGUUGUGGGAACCUUCCACGGUUUCCGCGACGCAGCAAACGCAUUAAGUGCCCCGCCUGGGAGUACGAUCGCAAGAUUAAAACUCAAAGGAAUUGACGGGGCCCCGCACAAGCAGCGGAGCA